rnacentral:rRNA from 1 species
AAAGCCUGUCUCAGUUCGGAUUGGAGUCUGCAACCCGACUCCAUGAAGCUGGAUUCGCUAGUAAUCGCGCAUCAGCCACGGCGCGGUGAAUACGUUCCCGGGCCUUGUACACACCGCCCGUCAAGCCAUGGAAGCCGGGGGUGCCUGAAGUGCGCUGCCGCAAGGAGCGCCCUAGGGUAAAACCGGUGACUGGGGCUAAGUCGUAACAAGGUAAC